GGCCGGUUAACUUAAUUGGUUAGAGCGUGGUGCUAAUAAUGUCAAGGUUGCGGGUUGGAUCCCCGAACGGGCCA
rnacentral:tRNA from 1 species